CUCGUUUCCGGAAGCCCGAAGCAUGCUGUUUGCAGAUGGCGUCCAGGCUCACGGUGGGAAGUUGAUUCCGCGGGCUUGGGCUGUUCGGCCAAGCACCCGCCGAAUAUGGGACGCUGGAGAGUCAGCAAUGUGGAGUCCUCGCCUUCGGCGUCCGCGGCUGGGAAAUAGGCCAUCCCCACGUCGGGAACUGGGACUCGGGCUCGGUCUGGGCCCUUUCCCGUCAGCCCACCAGACUCUUGGGCGCCUGACUGCACUGGAGCCGAGGAAUCGGGAGGGAGCUUUUCCUGUUCUCUGUUUUGGAUGCAUUUGAAGGCCUCUGGAGCCUUCUGGAAUCUACAGUCCCUGUUGCUCCCUCUGGGAGUUUUCUAGUCCCUCUAACUUGAAGCAUGUCUUUCAGAGCCCCGCACCACCCAGGUUGGACAUCUGAUCGAUUUUCACAUCUCAACUCAGUUAAGAAAGAGUGUGGGAAAUAGGACUCAACAGAUAGGACAAGUGGUUCAGAUUCCCGAGGCUAACUCAGGUGAGGAUGUAUCAUUGAAUCUGGCAAGCAGCUCUCGGGGACACAGGACCAGUGUCACCCCAAAACCGGGAGUCCCAGCAGAGCAUCGCCUCCCCCUGAGUGGCAUCCAUCCUGACCUGGCUUCUACUCGGAGAAGGGCCCAAGUGUAGAAACGUGCGUGAUGAGCUAAGCUUACCUGUAGCUGAAACGUCAGCGCAGACUGCAGAGCGCUGGGACCACAUUUUCCAGAAUCCUUCGCCACUCCUGGGGUGCUCUCACGGUCAGCACAUCUCAUUGGCUUACAGAAGAGAGAUCGUCAACGUCAUUUGGGCAUCUUAACAGUGGGCUCCUAAACUUGGUGUGCCCUGUGCUGAUGUCAGAGGCACCCUGUGCGGGCAAAGUCAACUGCCUGCCGCCUAUCUAGCUCCAAAACUACAAUCCCCAGUGGCCUCUGUGGUCACUUCUGCUACCCGCCCUACACGCCUUCCUAUGUAUUGCAUUGACGUCAGAAGUACUUCAGGUCAGUGGGCCAGCCCCUAGUCUGGUUGGCACCCAGGGAGGCCUCCCUCUUCAGGACUUCCCCACACCUCUGCCCCUUACCUGACCUUCACUUUCAAGAUCUACAGUGUGCACCUGCAUUCCGUGGGUGCCCUUUAGGCAGUCAGCUUGCCCCUCCAUGUGUUCCUGUGUUACUCAAUGAGGUUGCAAGCUGGAAGCCCCAGAGAGCUCUCAGAAUUUGGCUGCUCUCUUGUGGGCACCUCCAGGCCAUUUUCCUUCCAUUUGAGCCCACAGGGUUAGAGGCAAACCCUCACUCAGUUGCUUGGGGACAAGGACUUCACUCCCUGGGCCAAGCCUGAAACUGAGCUUGAGGGUGGUGGGUCUUGCUGGGCACCUCUGGAUGGGAAUUGGCUACCCUGCCGAUUUAUCACAUUCCUGGCCCCAGCUGUGGGGCUCUGGAGUGGACUGCUGCACUUCACCUCUUGGGGAGGGAGAUUCCACUUGAGAGUCAACAAAGAGGUCAGAAUUACCUGUAAUUCCAUCCUGACCGUCGAGAUGGAUGCCCUUAGCUUUUCUUGUGGUGGAGACUGCCUCGUUGGUACUGGUCAAAGUUCAUUCCUAUUCCUGGAAGACGAGCUCGUUCUAACAGGAGUCUUCCCUCAGCAUUCCUCUCUGCUCCAUCCAUACCGCAGUCACUCAUGAAGUAGUUAAAUGUAAACACAUAGGGAACAGUUUAAAUAUUGUUAUUUAAACUGUCCCCCCUGAAGGGCGGGGACAGCAGAGAUGCCUCUGAUUACUAGUGGCUGGAAAGGACUCCCAGAAAUAGGGCUGUCUCAGCUGCCCCUGACCAGUUUGGUAAAUUGGAGAUUAGAGGGAAGACGUUGCAGUGGGAGGUGCAAGGAAGCAUGAUUUCAGAGGCCAGACUCUUGCUACAAUGUAGAAGGAUUAUGGUGGCCCAUGGAUUUGAUUAAGGUUGAAUUUUAAAUAUGCAUAGGUGAAGAUACAGACGUUAUUCACACAUAGAACAAGGAGUUGGACAGAAUCUGACCUGAAUUUUACAUUUGAGAGCAUUUUCAGCUUCUGGCAGUUGGGACAUUUCACCCAAAAUUUCAGAUUCCCUGCUUCUCUGAAAAUAAAUCUGCCUUAGGUCUGCACUGUUUUUAGUGUCAAUUUGAGUGAAACAAAGUCUUUCUCAUUUGGACAUAACCUAUAGGAUCUGUCUAUCUGCUGCACCUUCUAUAGUGUCCUUUAUACUGAGGUUGAAACCACUGACUACCUAACAUUUUGCACCCCUCUCGUUUUUAUUACCUUCCUGACCCCUGAAGGGUUUGCCUUUUCCACCUCUGGGCGGGGGCAGAUCAGACAAUCCUGAGUGUCAGGCUGAGGAGGGUAGACGGAGUAAGCUGGGUUUUGAAGGAUAUUAAUAAGGGAUUUGAUGGUAAGUCAGUGAUAUGUGGGAAAUACUAAUUGAUAUGGUACGCAGACUUAAGAGGAAGUGUUCUAAUGCCCAAGAAUGGUGACUGCGAUGCCCCUGACUUAAGUGAAAGCAAGUAACAUUUAGAAAACACCAACAGUUGCCAGGCUACUCAAGAGGCUUGUUUGUUAAUUUUUUUCCAUUUUUGCUUUGUUGCC